rnacentral:lncRNA from 1 species
UACGUAAGAUCGAAUGGACUCGUCCUCUUUCUAUUUGAUGAUCUGGAGGUAGUCUGAAUGCUUCUGUUGUCACCAACUGAUGAUGAAAUGGACAGCAAAAGUUUGGCUCAGUUGUCGAAAAGAGUGAAUAGAAGCUAGCUUUAGACUGGAAUACCAAAGUCGAACUGCCUCCUUCAAUGUGGAGAGGAAGGCUCGGUACAAGAUAGC